UACAGAGGGUGCAAGCGUUAAUCGGAAUUACUGGGCGUAAAGCGCGCGUAGGCGGCUUGACAAGUCGAGUGUGAAAUCCCCGGGCUUAACCUGGGACCUGCAUUCGAAACUGUCUUGCUAGAGUAUGGGAGAGGGAAGUGGAAUUUCAGGUGUAGCGGUGAAAUGCGUAGAUAUCAGGAGGAACACCUGCGGUGUAGACGGCUUUCUGGACCAUUACUGACACUGAGACACGAAAGCGUGGGUAGCAAACAGG
rnacentral:rRNA from 1 species